UACGUAGGGACCAAGCGUUGUUCGGAUUUACUGGGCGUAAAGGGCGCGUAGGCGGCUUGACAAGUCACUUGUGAAAUCUCCGGGCUUAACUCGGAACGGCCAAGUGAAACUGUCAUGCUAGAGUGCAGAAGGGGCAAUCGGAAUUCUUGGUGUAGCGGUGAAAUGCGUAGAUAUCAAGAGGAACACCUGAGGUGAAGGCGGCAUCCUGGACCGGUAUUGACGCUGAGGCGCGAAAGCCAGGGGAGCAAACGGG
rnacentral:rRNA from 1 species